rnacentral:rRNA from 1 species
GGGUUGUGAGGUUAAGCGACUAAGCGUACACGGUGGAUGCCCUGGCAGUCAGAGGCGAUGAAGGACGUGCUAAUCUGCGAUAAGCGUCGGUAAGGUGAUAUGAACCGUUAUAACCGGCGAUUUCCGAAUGGGGAAACCCAGUGUGUUUCGACACACUAUCAUUAACUGAAUCCAUAGGUUAAUGAGGCGAACCGGGGGAACUGAAACAUCUAAGUACCCCGAGGAAAAGAAAUCAACCGAGAUUCCCCCAGUAGCGGCGAGCGAACGGGGAGCAGCCCAGAGCCUGAAUCAGUGUGUGUGUUAGUGGAAGCGUCUGGAAAGGCGCGCGAUACAGGGUGACAGCCCCGUACACAAAAAUGCACAUGCUGUGAGCUCGAUGAGUAGGGCGGGACACGUGGUAUCCUGUCUGAAUAUGGGGGGACCAUCCUCCAAGGCUAAAUACUCCUGACUGACCGAUAGUGAACCAGUACCGUGAGGGAAAGGCGAAAAGAACCCCGGCGAGGGGAGUGAAAAAGAACCUGAAACCGUGUACGUACAAGCAGUGGGAGCACGCUUAGGCGUGUGACUGCGUACCUUUUGUAUAAUGGGUCAGCGACUUAUAUUCUGUAGCAAGGUUAACCGAAUAGGGGAGCCGAAGGGAAACCGAGUCUUAACUGGGCGUUAAGUUGCAGGGUAUAGACCCGAAACCCGGUGAUCUAGCCAUGGGCAGGUUGAAGGUUGGGUAACACUAACUGGAGGACCGAACCGACUAAUGUUGAAAAAUUAGCGGAUGACUUGUGGCUGGGGGUGAAAGGCCAAUCAAACCGGGAGAUAGCUGGUUCUCCCCGAAAGCUAUUUAGGUAGCGCCUCGUGAAUUCAUCUCCGGGGGUAGAGCACUGUUUCGGCAAGGGGGUCAUCCCGACUUACCAACCCGAUGCAAACUGCGAAUACCGGAGAAUGUUAUCACGGGAGACACACGGCGGGUGCUAACGUCCGUCGUGAAGAGGGAAACAACCCAGACCGCCAGCUAAGGUCCCAAAGUCAUGGUUAAGUGGGAAACGAUGUGGGAAGGCCCAGACAGCCAGGAUGUUGGCUUAGAAGCAGCCAUCAUUUAAAGAAAGCGUAAUAGCUCACUGGUCGAGUCGGCCUGCGCGGAAGAUGUAACGGGGCUAAACCAUGCACCGAAGCUGCGGCAGCGACGCUGAUGCGUUGUUGGGUAGGGGAGCGUUCUGUAAGCCUGCGAAGGUGUGCUGUGAGGCAUGCUGGAGGUAUCAGAAGUGCGAAUGCUGACAUAAGUAACGAUAAAGCGGGUGAAAAGCCCGCUCGCCGGAAGACCAAGGGUUCCUGUCCAACGUUAAUCGGGGCAGGGUGAGUCGACCCCUAAGGCGAGGCCGAAAGGCGUAGUCGAUGGGAAACAGGUUAAUAUUCCUGUACUUGGUGUUACUGCGAAGGGGGGACGGAGAAGGCUAUGUUGGCCGGGCGACGGUUGUCCCGGUUUAAGCGUGUAGGCUGGUUUUCCAGGCAAAUCCGGAAAAUCAAGGCUGAGGCGUGAUGACGAGGCACUACGGUGCUGAAGCAACAAAUGCCCUGCUUCCAGGAAAAGCCUCUAAGCAUCAGGUAACAUCAAAUCGUACCCCAAACCGACACAGGUGGUCAGGUAGAGAAUACCAAGGCGCUUGAGAGAACUCGGGUGAAGGAACUAGGCAAAAUGGUGCCGUAACUUCGGGAGAAGGCACGCUGAUAUGUAGGUGAGGUCCCUCGCGGAUGGAGCUGAAAUCAGUCGAAGAUACCAGCUGGCUGCAACUGUUUAUUAAAAACACAGCACUGUGCAAACACGAAAGUGGACGUAUACGGUGUGACGCCUGCCCGGUGCCGGAAGGUUAAUUGAUGGGGUUAGCGCAAGCGAAGCUCUUGAUCGAAGCCCCGGUAAACGGCGGCCGUAACUAUAACGGUCCUAAGGUAGCGAAAUUCCUUGUCGGGUAAGUUCCGACCUGCACGAAUGGCGUAAUGAUGGCCAGGCUGUCUCCACCCGAGACUCAGUGAAAUUGAACUCGCUGUGAAGAUGCAGUGUACCCGCGGCAAGACGGAAAGACCCCGUGAACCUUUACUAUAGCUUGACACUGAACAUUGAGCCUUGAUGUGUAGGAUAGGUGGGAGGCUUAGAAGUGUGGACGCCAGUCUGCAUGGAGCCGACCUUGAAAUACCACCCUUUAAUGUUUGAUGUUCUAACGUUGACCCGUAAUCCGGGUUGCGGACAGUGUCUGGUGGGUAGUUUGACUGGGGCGGUCUCCUCCUAAAGAGUAACGGAGGAGCACGAAGGUUGGCUAAUCCUGGUCGGACAUCAGGAGGUUAGUGCAAUGGCAUAAGCCAGCUUGACUGCGAGCGUGACGGCGCGAGCAGGUGCGAAAGCAGGUCAUAGUGAUCCGGUGGUUCUGAAUGGAAGGGCCAUCGCUCAACGGAUAAAAGGUACUCCGGGGAUAACAGGCUGAUACCGCCCAAGAGUUCAUAUCGACGGCGGUGUUUGGCACCUCGAUGUCGGCUCAUCACAUCCUGGGGCUGAAGUAGGUCCCAAGGGUAUGGCUGUUCGCCAUUUAAAGUGGUACGCGAGCUGGGUUUAGAACGUCGUGAGACAGUUCGGUCCCUAUCUGCCGUGGGCGCUGGAGAACUGAGGGGGGCUGCUCCUAGUACGAGAGGACCGGAGUGGACGCAUCACUGGUGUUCGGGUUGUCAUGCCAAUGGCACUGCCCGGUAGCUAAAUGCGGAAGAGAUAAGUGCUGAAAGCAUCUAAGCACGAAACUUGCCCCGAGAUGAGUUCUCCCUGACCCUUUAAGGGUCCUGAAGGAACGUUGAAGACGACGACGUUGAUAGGCCGGGUGUGUAAGCGCAGCGAUGCGUUGAGCUAACCGGUACUAAUGAACCGUGAGGCUUAACCUUACAACGCCGAAG